CGGGGUGCAGCAGGCGCGAAAACUUUACAAUGCGGGAAACCGUGAUAAGGGAACUCCGAGUGUCCGUAAAUGCGGACUGUCCGUAUGUUUAAAAAGCAUGCGAAGAAAGGGCCGGGCAAGACCGGUGCCAGCCGCCGCGGUAAUACCGGCGGCUCGAGUGGUGGCCACUAUUACUGGGCUUAAAGCGUUCGUAGCUGGGUUGUUAAGUUUCUUGGGAAAUCUACCGGCUUAACCGAUAGGCGUCCAAGGGAUACUGGCAAUCUAGGGACCGGGAGAGGUGAGGGGUACUUCAGGGGUAGGAGUGAAAUCCUGUAAUCCUUGGGGGACCACCUGUGGCGAAGGCGCCUCACCAGAACGGCUCCGACAGUGAGGGACGAAAGCUGGGGGAGCAAACCGGAUUAGAUACCCGGGUAGUCCCAGCCGUAAACGAUGCGCGUUAGGUGUAUCGAUGACCACGAGUCAUCGAGGUGCCGAAGGGAAACCGUGAAACGCGCCGCCUGGGAAGUACGGUCGCAAGGCUGAAACUUAAAGGAAUUGGCGGGGGAGCAC
rnacentral:rRNA from 1 species